rnacentral:rRNA from 1 species
UACGUAGGGGGCGAGCGUUGUCCGGAAUCAUUGGGCGUAAAGCGCGUGUAGGCGGCUCGGUAAGUCUGCUGUGAAAGUCCAGGGCUCAACCCUGGGAUGCCGGUGGAUACUGUCGAGCUCGAGUCCGGAAGAGGCGAGUGGAAUUCCUGGUGUAGCGGUGAAAUGCGCAGAUAUCAGGAGGAACACCAAUGGCGAAGGCAGCUCGCUGGGACGUGACUGACGCUGAGACGCGAAAGCGUGGAGAGCAAACAGG